rnacentral:sRNA from 26 species
UAACAUUUGCGGCGAGGUUCACAAUUUGUAUUUAGGUACUGAUUGUGGAUGAGAAGGUUGGAGAAAGACCACUUGGUUAAGCCGGAGGAUGUGUCCUAGAAUUGUCGCUAUUCUGUCAUCCUCCGGUUUUGCUAA